AUUGAACGCUGGCGGCAUGCUUUACACAUGCAAGUCGAACGGCAGCGCGGGCUUCGGCCUGGCGGCGAGUGGCGAACGGUUGAGUAAUGCAUCGGAACGUGCCCAGUAGUGGGGGAUAGCCCGGCGAAAGCCGGAUUAAUACUGCAUACGAACUGAGGGUGACAGCGGGGGACCGCAAGGCCUCUCGCCUUUGGAGCGGCCGAUGUCGGAUUCACUAGUUGGUGGGGUAACGGCUUACCAAGGCGGCGAUGCCUAGCUGGUCUGAAAGGACGACCAGCCACACUGGGAGUGAGGCACGGCACAGACUCCGACGGGAGGCAGCAGUGGGGAAUUUUGGACGAUGGAGGCAAGCCUGAUCCAGCCAUGCCGCGGGCAGGAAGAAGGCCUUAGGGUUGGAGACCGCUUUUGGUCGGAAAGAAAUCCUCUGGGCUAAUACCCCGGGGGGAUGACGGUACCGGAAGAAUAAGCACCGGCUAACUACGUG
rnacentral:rRNA from 1 species